rnacentral:rRNA from 1 species
ACCAACCUACCAUCAGGUGAGGGACAACCCGGGGAAACCUGGGCUAAUACCGCAUAAUGUCAUAGUGUCGCAUGGCACAUUGACCAAAGGGGGCCUCUGCUUGCAAGCUCCCGCCUAUUGAGGGGGUCGCGGCGUAUCAGCUAGUUGGUGAGGUAACGGCUCACCAAGGCUACGACGCGUAGCGGGUCUGAGAGGACGACCCGUCACAUUGGGACUGAGAUACGGCCCAG